ensembl:lncRNA
AUGUGGAGAACAUGUACGAGGAGGUCCAAAUACCUGAGCGGCACAAGUCCAUCAGCUGGAGAUGUGAAGAUCUUUGUGACUCUGGCACGUCCGCUCCACCCGGCAGCAAGAAGCUGCCCACAGAUGUCUGGCAGGUGAGCGAGCGAACCGUCAGCAGGACAGAGGUGGCCGUACGAGUCAGUACACCUCAUCUUGCCACCAUCAAACAAAGCUGUGACGCUAAGGUUCAACAGUUGAUGAAAUCGAGGAGGAACAGCACUAAGGAAGGAUUGAGAAAAACAACGCUGGCCAUGAUCCGCAGAGUGGCCUUCCUGCAGAGGAAAAACUCCACAGGUGAGGAGUGUGGAUCUGUGUCUCACGUUGUGUUACAUGUAAACGAUUGAAUGGGAUUAGCAAUAACCAGGAAUUCAUUGAAAAAGUUUCUAUCAAACAUCUGUCUGCUUUCUUCUGAGAACAAAGGCUGUUUUAUUUCAGGAGAGGGGAGUGAAGACACAGGAUACUUGGACGUGUCCAUUUGUGAGCUGAAGCACCCUCCAGCUGUACUGUGCCCUAUGCCGGAGGGGCUCAGCGGCCAGCAGGUCAUCCGACGCCUCAUUCUCAGCUCUAUUGUUCAAAGUGAGAGCAGCUACCUGGACUCCUUGAAGAGGAUCCUGCAGGAAUACCAAAAGCCGCUACUGGAGAGCCACACUUCCAUCCUAAACCCGGAGAAGGUGCAUCAGAUCUUCUUCCGUCUGAGGGAGAUCCAUCAGUGCCACUCCAUGUUCCAGAUCGCCCUGGCAUCGCGCGUGGCGGACUGGGAUCAGAGUGAGAUGAUUGGAGACCUGUUUGUGGCCUCGUUUUCAAAGUCCAUGGUGCAGAGCGUGUACAGAGACUACAUCAACAAUUUCACCAAAGCCAUGGCGCUCAUCAAGAAGGCCUGCGUGUCCAGACCUGCCUUCCUGGACUUCCUGAAGAGGAAACAGGCGUCAUCGGCAGACCGGAUCACGCUGUACGGGCUGAUGGUCAAGCCCAUCCAGCGUUUCCCUCAGUUCAUUCUGCUGCUACAGGACAUGUUGAAGAACACUCCGCUGGCCCAUAAGGACAGACUUCCUCUGCAGCUGGCUCUCACCGAGCUUGAGAUCCUGGCAGAAAAGCUCAACGAAGAGAGGCGUUUGGCUGACCAAGAAGCAGAAAUCCAGCAGCUGGCCCAUAGCAUAGGAGACCGCAACCUCAACAAGCUGCUAAACUCGGAGCAGAGGCAGCUGAUCCACUCUGAGCUGCUGACUGAGACUGUCUAUGGGGACAAAGGUCAAGUCCUUAAGUCUAAGAAGCGAAAGGUGUUUCUCUUCAGUGACUCGUUGAUUUGUGCCAACAUCAACUGGAAGGGUCCUCCUGAAAUCAGCAGCCUGGUUCCCCUGGGAGCCAAAUGCUCGGUGAAGUGGUGUGCCCCUGUGGCACAGAUCCAAGUGGAGGAGGUGGGGCAGGAUGGGGUUGUGAUUAGUAGGCGGCAUAGCUCUGCCUCCAGGAAGUUGUUCCUGGGGCCCCCCAGGUUAUUCCAGGAACUGGAGGAGCUACAGCAUGACCUGGCUGUGGUGGAGGAGGUGUCUCUGCUGGUGGGCACGUUACAUGGACUCUACCAGAACCUGAACAGCACAGUGUCUCAGGACUGGUGCUGCGCUCUGCAGAGGCUCAUCCGUCUGAAGGAAGAGCAGAUCCAGGACGCCAACAAGUGCUGCCUGCGUCUGUCCAUUCCAAGCCGUCCAGACAGGUCUGGACGCCCUGUGAGCAUUAUGGUGGUCUUCAACACCCUCAGCCCCCACAGCAAAAUCUUCUGGGUGAACCGCAUCUACCUUGCUAAGCUGGCUCAGAGAAAGGAAAACUCUCCUGGAUGGGAAUGUUAUGAAGAUGACUGCAAGACCCAAACCCUGUUUGGGUCUCCACUGCUGACCUGCUCUUUGCCGGUUCUGUCCUCCAGGACACUCUCUCUGACGCUGAAGGCGGCUCUGCACAGUCCUUCUCAGUCCACCCUGCUUGGUCUCUGCUCCACCACCACAUGUCUGCCGCAGGGUUACCUCUGGGUUGCUGGUGGUGGAGGCGGCUCUCUCCACGGCCAAGUGGAUAUCUUCUCUUUGAACCGAACCACACCUCGCUUGGUGAAGAGCAUCCCACUGAGGUCCCCCGUCCUCUGUCUGGAGCUUGUGAGGGAGCCAGGUCCCCAGACUGAUGAAGAAGAGGAGGAGAAAGAGUCUGGGAGGGUCACCAGGGCAGAGAACAUCAUCUGUGUGGGUCUGCAGGACGGCAGCAUUCACGUGCACAGCAGUGUGGACACGGCUGUGGAGACUCUGCAGACCCUGGUGAACCCGGACAGCUGCCCUGUGCUCUGCCUCAAACAUUCGACCUCCUUCCUCUUUGCUGGACUGGCCAACGGUAAAGUAGCUGUGUUCCAGAGAGCAGCUGGAGGUGAGCUAUGGGACGCGGACUCGUGCAGACUGGUGCGGCUGGGCUCAGAGCCGGUCCACGCUCUGCUGACAGUGGAAGAUGCUGUGUGGGCGAGCUGUGGCCAUCAUGUCUCUGUCAUCCAGGGAGAGGGUCUGCACACACAGGUUUUGGAAGUUCACCAUGAUCCAGGCUGCCGGGUUCGCUGCAUGGUGCGUUCAGGAGCUGGAGUCUGGAUGGCCUUCACAAAGGGCUCCUCCAUUUACCUGUUUCACACUGAGACACUGGAAGCUCUGCAGGAAGUGAACAUCUCAGCCCGUUCCAGGCAUCCAGGUCAGCUCACGGUCUCCUGUAUGCUGAUUUGCCAGGGUUUGUUGUGGGUGGGCACCAACCAGGGAGUAAUCCUCACUUUCCCUGUUCCCACCCUGGAGGGCAUCCCCAGGAUAACAGGUCUGUGCUGGAACUCACGAAGACCUGGUUCAUUCUGUAAAUGCAGCUUCUGCAGACAAUCCAGUCCGCCCACACUGCCAGGCUUCUCCUGUGACCACGAGGUUUACAGAGGACAAAAUACAACAACAAAAAACUACUUUUACUGUCCUGCAGAGGUGACGAUCACAAGGGUUAAAACCAUUUCUCUGUCUAACCCAGGGGUCGGCAACCUUUUUUACUCAAAGAGCCAUUUGGGACCGCCCCUAAUGGAAAAAAAGCACCCGGAGCCACAACCCGUUUUGACAUCAUAA